UGGAGAAUGGCUUGAUUUUUUGUACAAUUGAUUUAGCUCAUUAUAAAUAUGAGUAAUUAAACCUUUGUCAGAGGUUUCUAUGAAGAUUUUUUCCCAAUUUGUUGUUUCCCUUCUGAUUUUAGUUAUAUUGGUUUUGUUUGUACAAAAGCUUUUUAGUUUGAUGUAGUCAAAAUUAUUUAUUUUACAUUUUGUGAUUCUACAUCCCUCUUCUUGAUAGAGAUGGAGUGGUCUUCUGAAACAGAUUUUUGUAAAAAUGUCAUUUUGGUGAUCAAUUUUGCUUCAUUGUUUUUAUUUGUUUAAAAAAAUUCAGUGUUGAGAGAGGGCAUAAUUAAGAAUUUUACCACUUUUGAUGAGACACUUUUAUACUUACAUAAUGUAAAAAAAUAAUACAAGUUCAUAAAGGGGUAUCAUUCUACAUCAUUAAUUUUAACAAUUAACUGACAAAGUCAGAGAUUGAUGAGUUGCUUUAUUAAUGUAAUAUACUACCAAACACCAUUGGCAGUCUUUGAGGAAAACCAAAUGGUCCUUUUAAUAUAGUUGUGCUAAUGAAAUCCAAAACAUUAUAUUGCUUUCUCUAAGCAUUCUUUCCUUAUUAGAAGUACAUGCUGGCAUUUGACUCCCAUCAUUUUAAGAACCCAUAAUAGAAAUGGUGGGGUGGCUACCCAUCCCCUACCUUGGUGGUCACAUUAUACAAUUUGGAUCCUGGCUGUACCCCCCAACUCCCUAUUAGUAUGAAUAAUAAAUCCCUUGAAGUAUGCUGUACAUAUUUGAAAUCACUUCGUUAUAAUAAUGUAAAGUAUGAAGGGAGAUUCAUUGGAAGGACCUACCUUUAGAUCUGUGGUUAGUGAGAAGGAGAAGAAAUCUUAGCCAAACAAAAGAUAACCAUGAUUAAAAAAAAAUAGGCCAUUCUAGUUUAACAUAAAUAUAUGACCUUUUUUGGGGGAAAGAGGAGCAUCAAAGAAUUAAAAGGACUUGCUCUUUGGUAUGAGUGGGUUAAUGAUAAUUCACAGGAGUGAGAAAACUAAACCAUACAGUUCUUAAUUUGGUUCUCUUUUCUUUCCCAUGAAGAAUGACCUUUGUGGUGGCAAUGAACAGAACAAAAAUGGCCCUACUACAAGAUAGAUAAAUGAGGAAAUAUUAAGAAAGCACCUAACGAACCCUGUCAAAGGAAGCAGUAAAUGCAAAGAGGGAUGGAUCUGACUGAGUGUAUGAAUGAAUGAAAAGAUAUCCAUGGGCUAUGAGCCCGUAACAUGCCCAAGGUGAACCUACAUCCUCAUAUCUGAAAGAAAUAGAAAAUAUUAUUGGUAAACCUCUAAGUAAUAUUUGAAAGAUUAUAGAAAUCUGGAAAGGAAGCCCACGUUUGGAGAAGGAAAAGUGUCAUUCUGGUUUUCAAAAAAGAGAAGAGAACAAAAUCUAUAGAUUUUAAUCCAGAGAAAUUGACUUCAGCUACUAGGAAAAUUCUAGAACUAAUUAUAAAGAAAACAGUUGAUGAAAGCAAAAGUGAUUAUAAAUAAUCAACAUGGUUUUUAUCAAGAACAAGUAAGGCCAAAAUAGUCUUAUUUCCUAGUCAGACUUGUGCUUUACAAGCAUUGCUCUAUCAGAUUGUGGAGAAAUGAUUCCAGAGGAGAGGUUGAGACCAAGACCAAUUAAUAAACUGUUGCAAUAAUUUAGGAAUAAGGGCCAGAAUUAGGGUGAUGGUUAUGUGCAUAGAGAGACAGGAUGUCUGGGAGAUAUAGAGGUAAAAAGAACAAGGCUUGGCAACUGAUUGAAAAUAUGGGUUGAAGAAUAAGAAGUCAGAGAUAACUCUUAAGAUUAUUACAUCUGGAUGUCUCGAUAGAUGAUGGUACUCUCCAUGGAAGAAGGGAGGUUUAGAAAAGGAAUGAGUUUGAGGGAAAAGACCAAGACCAAUGCUAUAUUGUUGUUUCAAGUGUCUUUCGAAUUUGUAGUUUACAUGUCCAAUGGGCAUUUAGAGAUGCAUUAUUGAAUUCAGGUGAGAGACCAAAGCUAGAUAUCUAGUUCUGGGAGUCAUUUGUAUACCAGUGAUAACUGCUUCAAAAGGAGUACAAAUGGGCCCUCUUCUCUCUAAAGAAGAGCCUUAAAGUACAUCCAUAGUUGGGGGGGGGGAUAUGAAUGAUCUAGUAAAAAGAGACUUAAAAGGAGGAGAGAAAUUGAGAGAAAAAGAACCCAGAGAGAGUAGCAUCAAGACACAUUCAAGAGGAGCAAGUGGUCAAAAAUGUCAUUUGCUUCAGAGAGGUCAAAGAUCUGACAAUUAAGUGAUCUUAGGUAACUUCAAAGAGAGUAGUUUUAAUUGUGUGGUUAGGUCAAAAGCCAGAUUGUAAAAGAUUGAGAAAUGGGAGGGGAGAAAAUGAAAAUAACAGAUACAAACAGCUUUUCCCCAUAAGUUUGUCAAUAGGAAUAAAGAUAUGUAACCCCCUCCCCCCAAAAUCAAAUAAAGACAGAUAUAGGACAGCUUAUAGUUUAGGAGAAAGUGAAGUAUGGAGAACUACUCAAAGAGUUUGAGAUAACAGAGAAUGAGCUACUAGAUAGAAAAGAGACUAAAGUUUAAAAAGAGGAAGCAGCAGAAGUAUCUAUCAUACAUAGAUUGUGAGGACAAUCUGAUAAAAAAAGAUGAGCUCAGUUGUACAAGGAGAGAGAUUGACCUUGUUGAACUACCCAUUCAUCUGUAAUUGUAGUAAAGGAUGAAAGAAUAGAGGAAUAAUGCCAAGGGAUUUUGAAAUAUAGCACAGAGUUAAGAAGAGGUCAUUCAAAAUGAAUAGAUUCUUUUUUCUCAGUAAAGUAUGAUAGUUGAUGGGUGCAAGGGUAGUUUGGGAGGUUGGAGGAGAGAAAAGGUUUAGAAUAGUGCUGUGAAGAGUUGAAUAAAGAAUCAAUUAAUGAAGCAUAAGAUAGAUUACAUAACAUAAAUUUGUAGUGGAUCCAGUCAUCUCCAUUGUAUGAUUUCCCUUAUACCGUUUGAUGAGAUAUUAAUAGGAGCUGAGUAAUAAUUCAUAGUGUUUGGUGAGAUAUGAGCAGUAGUAGGAGAAGAGAAAGAAAUGGAUGAAUGACAAGGUCAUCUAAAACUUGACUGAUAAGCAUUUAGUUAAACCUAAUAAAAUGAAAUUCAAUAAGGAUAAAUUUCAAACUUUACAUUGGGUUCACUAAAUCAGCUUCAAUUGUAUAAUACUGGGGAAGACAUUCAGGUGGCACUUUCUGCAAAGGAAUUUUUGGUUUUAGGGUAUUGGAAGCUUAAAGGAGUCCCCUAUUGUGCUAUGGAAACCAAAAGUAGCUAAUGCAAUCUUUGGUUAUAUUUGGUUAUAUUAAGGAAGAUAUAACUUCAAGGUAUAAGUUAAUGGUUUCUCUGUAUUGUGCCUUGACAACACCACGUACUAUGUUCAGUUCUAAGCACCAUAUUUUAAGUAAGAUGUUAAUAAACUGUAGACUGUCCAGAAGAGGAGAGCCAGAAUGUUGAAGGCUCCAGGGUCAGUAUUAUGAAAAGAAAACCUGAGAUGUUUAACCUGCAAAAGAGAAGACUGACUCUUUGGAACCAUGAUAACUCGUCUUCUGAAGGACUGUUAUGUGGAAGAGAGAUUAUAUUUAUUUAUAUCUCUUUGGAUCUUAGAAGUCAGAGUCAGAUAAAAGUUGAAAAGUAGCAAAUUUAGACUCAAUUUGAGAAAAUCUUUCUAUUAGAGCUUUUUAAAAGUAGAAUGGGCUACCAUUGACAUAGUGGGUUCUAUCAAAUUGGAGGUCUUUAAACAGACUGGAUGAAUAGUUAUCAAGUAUGUCCUGGUGGAGAUCCCUUUCAACUGUGAUUUGAAUGACACAUAACCUCUGAGGUAAUACAGUCCACACAUCAGGGAUAGCUUGUGUAAAGGUCCUGAGAUGGGAUACAGAAUAUCUUGCAUAAAGAAUAACAAUUAGACCACUUUGGCAUGAAUACAGAGAGUACAUAAGGAGAAGCAAUGUGAAAUAAGCCUGGAAAGAUAAGAGAGUUUAAUCAUUACUGGUUUUAGAUGUCAAAUACAGGAAGUGAUACCUUAUUCUAGAAGCAGUAAAUAGCCAGUGAAUCUUUUUGAAAAGGAGAGUAGCAUAGUCAGACUUUAGUUUUAGGGAUACUAAUUUGGUAACCACAUGGAAGAGAGAUUAGUAGUGCAGAGAGACCAAUUAGUAGAUUUUUGUAAUAGUCUAGGUGAGAGGUAAUUAAAGGCCUGAAUUAGAAUAUGUUUUGUGAAUCAAGAGUACAGAACAAAAUAUAACAGAAUAGAAAGCAAAGGAUAGACAACAUUUAAUGCCUGAUCGUAAUAGGCACUGGCAAAAAGUGAAGAUAUGUAUGAUGUGUAGUAGAUUGCAUUAAGCAAAACAAGGAGAAAAGUAUUCGAAGUAACUAUAACAAUGUAUAUUAAAAUACCCAAAGGCCAAUACAGAAAUUGCAUUGACCAAGUUUUGGUCCUGGAGGACAUAUACAGUACAGAUGCUAGUGUCUACAAAAGAAUUAAUGUUGCUUACUCUUGUUAGGCAAUCAUGUUUUCAAUCAGUUUAAGUUAGCUCUUUCCUUUAUUUCAGGCAGGGUUCAGGGAAAUUGGAGGAGUUAAGGGAGGAGAAGCAGAAGAAGAAUAUAUUUUUGGAAUUCACUGAGGUCACCAAACAAAAUCUCCACUUCUGACCAACUUCCCACCAGUGAGUGAAGCCUGACAAACCAGAGAUGAGGAAGAUGCAACUUCUCUCCAGUCGAAGUGAAGGAGAGUGGAAGUCAAGCAGAUGCAUCCAAGAAGCCCACCAGCAUCACCAGUGUAUUCUUCAAGGAGUUUAGAAGCACACUAGUAGUCUUUAUGCGCUUUUACCCAGAGAUAGUAGUUUUCACUAGUAUGCAUCCACAUCUGAGAAGCUGCAUAGGAAACCAGAAAUUUGGUGGAACAGAGACAUUGAAAACCUUUUUUUCUUUUAUUAGUUAGUCUUCGUUCUAACGAAAUGAACUGGAGAUUUCAGCAGUUUUGGGGUAGACUCAAACUGUUAUGAUCUAAUAAUUAUCCCAGUUAGAUUAAUCUGAAACAACUUUUUCUAAAGAAAAAAAUGGUUAUUCAGCUUUGUGUGUAUGUUGUUGUUGUUGUUGUUAAGUUUUAAAAAUAUUUGCUUGAAUUUCCCCAGAAAAUUAUCUCUGUUGUUCUUUUCUUGUUGCCUUCAUUGAAAUAGUCUUCAUGGUCAAAGGUGACAUUUUUGUAGGGAACUUUGCCCUACUUUUAUCCUAAAGGCUAUAGUUUUAUCUGAAUAGACCCUCACUCUCACCAGUAAUAGAACUCACACCUAGACAGGUCAGACGGGCAAAUAAUUCACAUGGAACUUUUAAGUUAUCUGACUAAAUCCUUACAAGAUCUUGUUUCAUGUUUUUCUGCAAGACUUGAAUGAUAAAUGCCAAGUAUCCAAACUUCUCAGAGCCUCAAGGGAAUUAGCUCACAUUCAUAAAAACAUAUUUAGCAUACAACUUAAUAGUAUCUGAUUUAAGCCAGUAUCUGACAGGUCAGUAAAGCAUUAAAAUAUAGAAACAAAGAAUUUAGACUGUGAAGGGUUUUUGAGAUCAAGAAGAUAAUUCAUAAUGUAGCUUGAAUUAACUAUGGUAUUAUAUAGACAGAUCUUUGGAUUUUUAUACAAAGGAUGGGAAACCUCUUGCUAUUCUAGCAAUUAAAUCAAAACUUCAUGAUAUCAGUGUUGCUAUGGAUUUACUGUUCUGUAUAUAGACUUUUAUUGCAUGUAGAUGCUGUUUUGCAUGAGUAGUACCAGGGCUUAUUGAAUUGAGGGCCUCUCUCUAUCAAGGAAGAAAUAGGAUUAGUAGCUGGGUAAUCUCUAGGACAUGCAAUAUCAUGUUUUACUUUUCUGUGGAUAGAAGGCCCUGGCUAAUAUUGGGAUGUGUUACUUAGGUCUGUUGUUAGUAUUCUGCUCAUGCUGCCACACUGGUAUGUCCUUUGAUAGUUUAUAGACUCCCUGGUAUAGACAUUGAUAUUUUAGAUCUAAAGUAUAAAAUAUUAUCUCCAAAUUAAAGAUGACUCCCCUCAGGUCCUAGAGUCUAACUAUAUAAACUGGGUAGUGUGAGUCUGUGAUAAAGAAAAUGAGAGUCGAGACACCUAGACUUCCCAGCUUUACCACUUACUAGUUAUGUGGCCUCAAAGUCAUUACUUCUCCUUGGUCCUUCUCAGUACCAUCAGAGAAAUAAAAGAAUUGGAUUAGAUGUUCCUCAAAAUCCCUUCUGUUAUUCUUGUAUUCUGUGACAAGUUUUGACCUAUGGUGUAUAUGAAUUCAUUAUACAAGCUAUAGGGGUAUACUUGUGUUUGGAUUUAUGGCAUUGUAGUAUGAUUGAAAGAAUAAUGAACUUAGAACUAGAAGACCUAGGUCCAAGUCCUGAGUCCUCUGCUUACUCCCUAUAUAAAUGUGAGCAAAUCAUUUACUCUUCUUGAGCCAGUUUCCUCAUCUGUAAUGUGUGACUACUUAACCCUCAUAGAGUUGUUUCAAGGAUCCAAGAAAAUAAUGUAUGUGAAAGUACUUUGUAAACUAUAGAGUUUUAUAUAAAUGUAAAAAGUUGUUAAUAAUAAAGUCAUUCCUUGCCAUGUCAA